rnacentral:rRNA from 1 species
UACGUAGGGACCAAGCGUUGUUCGGAUUUACUGGGCGUAAAGGGCGCGUAGGCGGCGAAUCAAGUCAGCUGUGAAAUCUCCGAGCUUAACUCGGAACGGUCAGCUGAUACUGUUUUGCUAGAGUGCAGAAAGGGCAACCGGAAUUCUUGGUGUAGCGGUGAAAUGCGCAGAUAUCAGGAGGAACACCGGUGGCGAAGGCGGGUCUCUGGGCCGAUACUGACGCUGAGGAGCGAAAGCGUGGGGGAGCGAACAGG